rnacentral:rRNA from 1 species
GACGAACGCUGGCGGCGUGCCUAAUACAUGCAAGUUGAGCGCUGAAGGUUGGUACUUGUACCGACUGGAUGAGCAGCGAACGGGUGAGUAACGCGUGGGGAAUCUGCCUUUGAGCGGGGGACAACAUUUGGAAACGAAUGCUAAUACCGCAUAAAAACUUUAAACACAAGUUUUAAGUUUGAAAGAUGCAAUUGCAUCACUCAAAGAUGAUCCCGCGUUGUAUUAGCUAGGUGGUGAGGUAAAGGCGAAACAAGGCGAUGAUACAUAGCCGACCUGAGAGGGUGAUCGGCCACAUUGGGACUGAGACACGGCCCAAACUCCUACGGGAGGAAGCAGUAGGGAAUCUUCGGCAAUGGACGAAAGUCUGACCGAGCAACGCCGCGUGAGUGAAGAAGGUUUUCGGAUCGUAAAACUCUGUUGGUAGAGAAGGACGUUGGUGAGAGUGGAAAGCUCAUCAAGUGACGGUAACUACCCAGAAAGGGACGGCUAACUACGUGCCAGCCGCCGCAGUAA